UACGUAGGGUGCAAGCGUUGUCCGGAAUUAUUGGGCGUAAAGGGCUCGUAGGCGGUCCGUCACGUCGGCUGUGAAAACCCGGGGCUCAACCCCGGGCCUGCAGUCGAUACGGGCGGACUAGAGUUCGGCAGGGGAGACUGGAAUUCCUGGUGUAGCGGUGAAAUGCGCAGAUAUCAGGAGGAACACCGGUGGCGAAGGCGGGUCUCUGGGCCUGACCUGACGCUGAGGAGCGAAAGCGUGGGGAGCGAACAGG
rnacentral:rRNA from 1 species